GUGGGAGGGGGCUUGCUCCCGAUGGCGGAGGGUCAGUCAACACAUCUGAUACUGACCCACCGCCAUCGGGAGCAAGCCCCCUCCCAC
rnacentral:misc_RNA from 1 species